AUUUAUAUAGUAUAAUAAUUAUAAUUGAUUUCCAAUCAAAAGAUCUAAAAAAUAGUAUAAAUA
rnacentral:tRNA from 1 species